rnacentral:rRNA from 1 species
AAUAGAUACCCCGGUAGUCCACGCCGUAAACGAUGAGUGCUAAGUGUUAGGGGGUUUCCGCCCCUUAGUGCUGCAGCUAACGCAUUAAGCACUCCGCCUGGGGAGUACGGCCGCAAGGCUGAAACUCAAAGGAAUUGACGGGGGCCCGCACAAGCGGUGGAGCAUGUGGUUUAAUUCGAAGCAACGCGAAGAACCUUACCAGGUCUUGACAUCCUCUGACAACUCUAGAGAUAGAGCGUUCCCCUUCGGGGGACAGAGUGACAGGUGGUGCAUGGUUGUCGUCAGCUCGUGUCGUGAGAUGUUGGGUUAAGUCCCGCAACGAGCGCAACCCUUGAUCUUAGUUGCCAGCACUCAGUUGGGCACUCUAAGGUGACUGCCGGUGACAAACCGGAGGAAGGUGGGGAUGACGUCAAAUCAUCAUGCCCCUUAUGACCUGGGCUACACACGUGCUACAAUGGACGGUACAAAGAGUCGCGAGACCGCGAGGUGGAGCUAAUCUCAUAAAACCGUUCUCAGUUCGGA